rnacentral:hammerhead_ribozyme from 1 species
AUCUAGUUGACGAGUCCCAAAUAGAACGAAAUGUGUAUCCUAGAU